AUGGGCGCAAGCCUGAUCCAGCCAUGCCGCGUGUGUGAAGAAGGCCUUAUGGUUGUAAAGCACUUUAAGCGAGGAGGAGGCUACUUUAGUUAAUACCUAGAGAUAGUGGACGUUACUCGCAGAAUAAGCACCGGCUAACUCUGUGCCAGCAGCCGCGGUAAUACAGAGGGUGCAAGCGUUAAUCGGAUUUACUGGGCGUAAAGCGCGCGUAGGCGGCUAAUUAAGUCAAAUGUGAAAUCCCCGAGCUUAACUUGGGAAUUGCAUUCGAUACUGGUUAGCUAGAGUGUGGGAGAGGAUGGUAGAAUUCCAGGUGUAGCGGUGAAAUGCGUAGAGAUCUGGAGGAAUACCGAUGGCGAAGGCAGCCAUCUGGCCUAACACUGACGCUGAGGUGCGAAAGCAUGGGGAGCAAACAGGAUUAGAUACCCUGGUAGUCCAUGCCGUAAACGAUGUCUACUAGCCGUUGGGGCCUUUGAGGCUUUAGUGGCGCAGCUAACGCGAUAAGUAGACCGCCUGGGGAGUACGGUCGCAAGACUAAAACUCAAAUGAAUUGACGGGGGCCCGCACAAGCGGUGGAGCAUGUGGUUUAAUUCGAUGCAACGCGAAGAACCUUACCUGGCCUUGACAUAGUAAGAACUUUCCAGAGAUGGAUUGGUGCCUUCGGGAACUUACAUACAGGUGCUGCAUGGCUGUCGUCAGCUCGUGUCGUGAGAUGUUGGGUUAAGUCCCGCAACGAGCGCAACCCUUUUCCUUAUUUGCCAGCGAGUAAUGUCGGGAACUUUAAGGAUACUGCCAGUGACAAACUGGAGGAAGGCGGGGACGACGUCAAGUCAUCAUGGCCCUUACGGCCAGGGCUACACACGUGCUACAAUGGUCGGUACAAAGGGUUGCUACCUAGCGAUAGGAUGCUAAUCUCAAAAAGCCGAUCGUAGUCCGGAUUGGAGUCUGCAACUCGACUCCAUGAAGUCGGAAUCGCUAGUAAUCGCGGAUCAGAAUGCCGCGGUGAAUACGUUCCCGGGCCUUGUACACACCGCCCGUCACACCAUGGGAG
rnacentral:rRNA from 1 species